rnacentral:tRNA from 1 species
GCCUGAGUGGCUCAGUUGGUUAAGCAUCUGACUUCAGCUCAGAUCAUGAUCUUGUGGUCCAUGGGUUCAAGCCCCAUGUUGGACU